AUUGAACGCUGGCGGCAUGCUUUACACAUGCAAGUCGAACGGUAACAGGGACUUCGGUCUGCUGACGAGUGGCGAACGGGUGAGUAACAUAUCGGAACGUGCCCAGUAAUGGGGGAUAGCUCGGCGAAAGCCGGAUUAAUACCGCAUACGCCCUGAGGGGGAAAGUGGGGGAUCUUCGGACCUCACGUUAUUGGAGCGGCCGAUAUCGGAUUAGCUAGUUGGUGGGGUAAAGGCCUACCAAGGCGACGAUCCGUAGCUGGUCUGAGAGGAUGAUCCGCCACACUGGAACUGAGACACGGUCCAGACUCCUACGGGAGGCAGCAGUGGGGAAUUUUGGACAAUGGGCGCAAGCCUGAUCCAGCCAUGCCGCGUGAGUGAAGAAGGCC
rnacentral:rRNA from 1 species